rnacentral:lncRNA from 1 species
AGAGCACGGCCAUCUGAGACAUCCAAGCGGGCUCUCUGGUAUGGUGUUAUGGACCCUCCUGACCUACAACUGACUCUUGCUACAUCUUCCAGAUUUUUCAAUCUGACGUUUAUUGACAAUCACAUCCUUUUUGACUUGGACACUGACUUUUCUCAGAUACUCAGAAAUAAGCUAGCAAGCCCAGUGCUUAGCAAAGGCCUCAUAAACUGAAUCAAAAUGAAACUGUUUCACUUGCUUGGCAUGCUUCUGAGUGAAAAUAACCUUCAUGCAAUUGUAAAUAACUUUAAAUCCAUCGCAAGUCAUUUAGUGGGUCAUGUUACUUUACAUGAGUCCUGCUCCCUCGACACUUUCAUCAACUGCUAGGUGUGCAAUCUUCACAGAGCUUGGAAAGUUUCUUUUAAACAAAUAAUAGGAUGUUACAGUUAAAAAGUUCCAAGGUCCCCAGAAGCAUUCUCUCCUGACAUUUCAUCCAUAUCUAUGGCAGGCAUCCUUAGAGGUGGUUAGGUCUGUUGGAAACCAGACAAAUGGGAUUUAUAUAUCUGUGGAAUGUCCAAGGUGGGAGAAAGGACUCUUGUCUGUUUGACCAAAAGCAGCGCCCAAACAUGAAUCAAAGAACAUGAAAGGCAUUGCAGAGUAACUCAACCAGAGAAGUCAUCCAUAGCAGAGCACUUGAACCAACAUGGACACAGUAUAUUAUUUGAGAACACAGAAAUGCUGGACCACUUUAACAACCAUCAUGUCAGACUACAUAGAGAGGCCAUUGAAAUCCACAAGCAUGUGGACAAUUUCAACAGAAAGGAGGAAACCAUGAAAAUGAAGAAAACCUGGCUCCCAGUAUUAAAAAACUCUAACAUCAGAACACUAAAUAAAGAACAACACUCUGAAAACAGGGGAAUUCCAGACAGGAAACAAUCAGGGCCUGCUAACAUCUAUCAACAAAGGUUUGCCCCAUUCCUGUGUGGAAUUCCCCUGUUUAUUUACUGUCCUGGUUUUAGAGAUUAUAUUGUUCUGACCGCAAUAAUAAUAAUAAUAAUAAUGAUAGUAAUAAUAAUGACUUUGGUAAUACACAGUGCUUCACUCCCUUCUCAGCUUCCUUUCUGGAAGAAUCCUUUCUUGGGAGGUGUUAGCUGGCCCUGAUUGUUUCCUUUGUGGAAUUUCCAAUUUCCCUGCUUUUAGACUGUUGGUCUUUAUUUACUGUUCUGGUUUUAGAGAUUAUAUUGUUCUGCGUUAUUCUAUCCCAGUAAUUAUUUCAUAUUAAAGUAGAAUCUCACUUAUCCAACCUUCGCCUAUACAAUGUUCUGGAUUAUCCAACGCAGUCUUCCUUUUAGUAGUCAAUGUUUUUGUAGUCAGUGUUUUAAAUUCAUUGUGAUAUUUUAGUGGUAAAUUUGUAAAUACAGUACAGUAGAGUCUCACUUAUCCAACAUAAACGGGCCAGCAGAAUGCUGGAUAAGCGAAUAUGUUGGAUAAUAAGGAGUGAUUAAGGAAAAGCCUAUUAAACAUCAAAUUAGGUUAUGCUUUUACAAAUGAAGCACCAAAACAUCAUGUUAGACAACAAAUUUGACAGAAAAAGUAGUUCAAUACGCAGUAAUGCUAUGUAGUAAUUACUGUAUUUAUGAAUUUAACACCAAAAUAUCACGAUAUAUUGAAAACAUUGACUACAAAAAUGCAUUGGAUAAUCCAGAACAUUGGAUAAGCGAGUGUUGGAUAAGUGAGACUCUACUGUAAUUACUACAUAACAUUACUGCGUGUGGAACUACCUUUUCUGUCAAAUUUGUUGUAUAAUAUGAUGUUUUGGUGCUUAAUUUGUAUAACGAUGACCUAAUUUGAUGUUUAAUCGGCUUUUCCUGAAUCCCUUCUUAUUAUCCAACAUAUUCACGUAUCCUGCCGGCCUGUUUAUGUUGGAUAAGUGAGACUCUACUGUAUAUUGAUAAUCUUAAAUUAUCUGCUUAGAACUGGAUUAUAUGAGGCCCCUUCUUCACAGCUGUAUAAAAUGCACACUGAAGUGGAUUAUAUGGCAGUGUGGAGUCAAGAUAAUCCAGUGCAAAGCAGAUAAUAUAAGAUUAUAAAUGGGUUAUAUAGCUGUGUAGAAGGGCCUUGAAUCUACACUGCUAUAUAAUCCAGUGCAAAUUAGAUAAUCUGUGGAAGAAGCCUAAGUGAGGCCUAAAUCUGCCUGUCCCCUAACUGAAUCCUGGCUGUCCUUUGGCUGAAUUGGUUGCUAGGCGACCAAGUGGGUAGAGAUUAGCCCUCUAAACUGGCAGCAAUUGGAUAAAAACAAUUAUUGCUCUCCCUCUAAUUAGGACUUUAUUUUUCUUUUCUUUUUGUUGUAUCAACCCUGAGGCGUGGGUGAUGGGUUGUGUUGUCAAAUUUCGAGGUUGGGGGGCCUGUACUUUUGUUGUUUUGUGGGUCGCCGUGAUGCCAUCACUCUUUUAUAUAUAUAGAUCUUUCUCAUUCUAGUUAAAUGGAGCAUUUUCUCAGAGAUA